rnacentral:misc_RNA from 1 species
GAUGAAGAACGUAGCGAAAUGCGAUAAGUAAUGUGAAUUGCAGAAUUCAGUGAAUCAUCGAAUCUUUGAACGCACAUUGCGCCCCCUGGUAUCCCGGGGGGCAUGCCUGUUCGAGCGUCAUUUCACCACUCAAGCCUCGCUUGGUAUUGGGCAACGCGGUCCGCCGCGUGCCUCAAAUCGUCCGGCUGGGUCUUCUGUCCCCUAAGCGUUGUGGAAACUAUUCGCUAAAGGGUGUUCGGGAGGCUACGCCGUAAAACAACCCCAUUUCUAAGGUUGACCUCGGAUCAGGUAGGGAUACCCGCUGAACUUAAGCAUAUCAAUAAGCGGAGGA